rnacentral:ncRNA from 3 species
GCCCAGUGCUCUGAAUGUCAAA